CAACUUCUUUGAUCUUUCACCGGAUUCACGGCGCCAGUCUCUCUCCAGUCGACGGAUUCCGGCAGAACCUCGCCGGGCAUGACGGCGUAACGCGGGCUGGCGUUUUUCAACUUGGCAAAUCUUCGCUUGGGAUCGCUCCUGGUGCCCAGGUAGAUAGCUCGGUACUCUUCGUUGGUGAGGUCAGCGAAUCUGUUCAACCCUACCUUGUAGGUGCGAUUUUGAGCGUUGUGUUCAUCUAUGAACUUGAGGUUAUCUUUGAAUAUCUCAAACCUCUUCUCUUUUUCUCCCAGUCCGUUGUAGGCUUUUCCGUGCUUGGCCAUCCACCACUGAUACAUGCCCAUCACCUCCUCCUCGCUUCUCCAGCUGCUGGACAGGUCCGCUGCGGAUGAGGCGACAAAGAAGAGGAAGAGAAGGGUUGAUAUGGAUAGCGCCAUGGCUGGUAAACGAGAAGAUGUGGAGGAGAUCAUGUUUGGGUGUCAAAAUGGGCUGUGGA
rnacentral:lncRNA from 1 species